GGUUCUAGAGGAUAUAGUUGCCGAAAAUCCUUUAGAAACAAGGCAUAAUAUUUAUGAGAAAGCCAUAAAUAAAAGAUUUUUGGAAACCCCAAAUAUAAAUUUCUAUCCGGAGGCGAUGACCUCAUUUAUUUCGUUAAAAAGUACCAUCGAUCGAUUAUUACAAAAAAAUAGGCCAUAUUUGCCACAAUCCGUAGAUAGCAUAGUUUUAUUGUCCGAAUAUAUCACCACAAAUAGGGGUGAUAUAUUUUUAAUUAAUAAUGAUGAUAAUAAUAAUAAUAAACUAUUGGUAUUUGGGACAUGUAGCAUGUUAAAGCUCAUAGAAACGUGUGAUAAUGAUACCAUAUAUAUGGAUGGUACAUUUUACGUUGUACCACGACUAUAUUACCAGUUGUAUACAAUUCACGUCUUGUAUCAGGAGACAAUGAUACCUAUUGUAUAUGCCCUCCUUCCCGACAAAACAAGAGCCACCUAUAUAGAUUUAUUUCAAAUUAUUCUAAGGUGCUGCGCCGAGAAUAAUAUCAUAUUUAAUCCUAGAUACGGGCAGACUGAUUUUGAGGCGGCUGCAAUAUCAGCUCUAGGAUUUGUUUUUCCUAAUAUGGUGAUUAAAGGCUGUUUCUUCCAUUUUUCGCAAGCCAUAUGGCGAAAUGUCAGGAAUUAGGCUUAACAGUAGAAUAUAGGGACAAUUCUACUGUUCACAAAGUAGUCAGACGUAUGACUACCUUACCCUUUUGCCGUGAGGAAGAUAUCUCCCGAGUACGAUCAUCGUGUCUUGCCAUGUCAGUUGAAAAUCCUCUGCUAUUAAAUUUUAUGCAAUAUAUGGAUCUGACAUGGCUUUCCAUUAAUGCUUUAUUUCCCCAUAGCAUAUGGACUAGAUAUCAAGUCAAUGGUCCUAGAACAAAUAACCAUUUAGAGGGCUAUCAUCAUAGCAUCAAAAGAAAAACGUUAUGUGCCCAUCCUAACAUUUAUUCUUUAAUUAACAUUUUAAAAAGACAUCAACACGCUUCUGAGAUUAAAUUAAUUCAGAUUAAUAGCGGGUUGAAUGUUAAUCGUAAAAAUCGUAAAUAUAUUCAAUUAAAUAUUUUAAUACAAAAUCUUACUUCCCUUUAUGA